UAGCCGUAAACGAUACUCGCUAGGUGUCGGCCACGGUGCGACCGUUGUCGGUGCCGUAGGGAAGCCGUGAAGCGAGCCACCUGGGAAGUACGGCCGCAAGGCUGAAACUUAAAGGAAUUGGCCGGGGGGAGCACAACAACGGGUGGAGCUUGCGGUUUAAUUGGAUUCAACGCCGGAAAUCUUACCGGGACCGACAGCAACAUGAAGGCCAAGCUGAAGACUUUGCCGGAUUAGCUGAGAGGAGGUGCAUGGCGUAGUCGUGU
rnacentral:rRNA from 1 species